rnacentral:rRNA from 1 species
UACAGAGGUCCCGAGCGUUGUUCGGAUUUAUUGGGCGUAAAGGGCGCGUAGGCGGCCUUCUAAGUCGGACGUGAAAUCCCUCGGCUUAACCGGGGAACUGCGUCUGAUACUGGAUGGCUUGAGUUCGGGAGAGGGAUGCGGAAUUCCAGGUGUAGCGGUGAAAUGCGUAGAUAUCUGGAGGAACACCGGUGGCGAAGGCGGCAUCCUGGACCGACACUGACGCUGAGGAGCGAAAGCCAGGGGAGCAAACGGG